CACGUGCCAGUUGGUACUUGGCUGCGUUGCAGCUAUGAAAAAGUGAGAAGUGCAAGAAAACUUGAGGGUACAUCCAAGGAGGAAGGAGCACAGACACACUUUAUAAGGAGGAAGAAGCACAGACACACUCUCAAGAAUUGUGUGUUGCUUUCUACAGCGCAAGAAGAGUAGAACUGAGGAAGAGGAGAAUGAAGUUUGAGGAAAUAUCAUCAGGAGGAGGAAUUGGGGGAAUCCCUAGCCUGGGGAUGGUUGGCAGGAAUAUGAGAGAGAAAAGAUCUGGGACAAAGGAAGCGGAAGCUUUAAGAGAAUCAAAGACCAAAUCAAGCAAGAAAAGUGAGGAGGUGGCAAAUGAAACUUUACUAGCUGUACAAGAAGACAAGUGCUUUCCAUUGUAAGAGAAUGGUGGCUGCUCUCAUUUGUAACCAUGACAUAGGUUCAACAGCAGAAACUGACUGUUUUGGACAGGAUUUACUUUUGAAAGUCUGAAGCCACAUUUCACUGCGAAAGAGGGGAAGGGACAUGGGUAAGUAACAUGUUCUUAUUUGCAGAUAUUAUGGCUUUGAAACUAUCCAUUUUGUGUCCCUGGAAGCAUAAUAAUUUCAUAGCAAGAACAUCCGUAACACAAUCAGCUUACCUUGAAUUUUUUUUUAAAGUUAGUAUCUGUAGUGAAUAGUAUCGCUGUUUUAUAGCUGGGGAAACUGGCAAGAUAGGUGCCAUGACUUGACACUGUAAGUAAUGUGAUAUCCUAAGUCCCAUCCCAGUACAUUACUGUCAGCCCUUUUGUCCUAUUUAAUCAUGUCUUUUAUGAUAAAAAUACUGGAAUAAUGUUUCCCUUUGGAAAUGUUUUGAGGAAAUAACCUCAUAAUAAAUGAUACUGCAGUAAUUUAUCCUUUGCGUUUAGCAGAAUAAUCAUUGGCAUGACUCGGUGGCUACACAGGGAAAGAACAGGUCACCGGUACCAAAUAUCCCACAAUUUUUAAACUGUGCUGCUGGUAUUAACAAUAACAACAUUGACUAUGGCAAAUGAUUCUGCAAAUGAUUCUGUCUUUUUUCUUUCCAUUGAAUUUAAAAUAUUCAGUAGCACUCUGAGAAGCUGUGAAAUCUGCAGGGCUUUUUAACCUGAAAUUCAUGCUUUGCAUCUGAAAUCUGGUUUCUAAGCCUCAUGUAUUCAGGUAAACAGAAAUAUUGAUUUUCUUGGCCUCCCUCUGUUCAGGUUGCUCAUAUUAGCAGAGUUGUGCAUGUAUCACUGUACAAAAACGUUUAGGACAUUUCCUGUAGUUUCAUACUCGGGGCUAGUUUUGAGAAACUAACUUGUUUUAACAGUUAUUUCUUCUUUGUGAACCAUGAAGUAAGAAGAUAUUGGUCUAACGGCAGAAACUGUAAGUGUACCAAGUCUCUUCCUUUGGGCAAAAGGGGGAAAAAAGUAUUGCCUCAAAAAGGCAAGCUAUUUCAAGCUUGCUGUGUCCUCACUUCCCUAAAUAGCUCUCUCUCUUCUUUGACGUUCUUCUGUAAGCACACGCUAUUAGGUUUUAUUGAAAUUUUUAAAUAAUCAGCUGGGAGCAGCUACUGAUGUAAAAUGAAUAUAGCAAAGCUAAAUGUCAGACUGUAUAGAAGGGAGGUGAUUUUAUUUCAAACAAAACUGAUUUCAGUCACUCACGCUCAUUCUCCUAUAGAUUUCAUUUAGUCAGUCUUUCAUACUUCUUUUCCAUACCCACAUUGUAACAAGGAUGAAGAUGUGUAUGUCUGGCUAGUCCAACCAGGAUUAUCUGUGGUGAAACAGAGGACAAAGGAUGCCAGAUUUGGAGUCACCAUCAUGUUUCCUGCAUUCUUGUUGCUGGGUGACCAUGUGCUCAUUUUGGAAGUGCCUUUUGUACUCUUCAGGGACCCAGGUCCAUGAGUCAUUAAGCAAUGUUGUUGAUUGACUGCCUGUCCUUCUUUCUCCUGUGAGUUGUCUAUCUUUAGUUUUAGGCUGUCCUUUGUUUUCCCAGUCUGUGUGUUUCAAGAAUCUGACUGUGAUCUCAAUGACCUGCUGGUGCUGUCAAGCCAAGCCAUUCUUUUGUCCCUUCUUAUCUUGUCAUUUCUUCUGGUGCUUUCAUACGUGUUUCUGAGUGUAAUUUGUUCAUUUCAACCUGAAUGUUUCUAUUACAAAUCUCUGCAUUAUGAAGUACAUCAGGUCACACAAAUGAGCUAAACGAGGGAAGUACAGUGUCUCAAACAGGUGACGAGCUAUAGAGAGGAUCCUGGGCUAAGUGCUGUAGCUGUCACACUGAAAUUACAUUUGGAGGCAGUUUUGUGCUGGUCAUUCUGACAGAACAGCAUUAAUUACCAAUGAAAGUGCACCAGUGUAAACUAGCUGACUCACUUGUUAAGGCAUGAGGGGUACUUGGGUUUUUUGGUGACUUUUUGGUCACCAAACUCAAUGCUAUGAACACUUUUGGAAGGAGGACAGUGAGAUGAACCCUCUGGAAUGACUAUAAGUAUAUUAGUGCUCUUUUGUAUACUAUUGCUCCACUGAGCGUUACCCAAUAAUAACAACAGUGCUAAUACAGGCUUUUGUAAGAGGAGUACCUGAAUUUAGGUACCGGUAACUUUGAGAGGGUCUACACUGUACUUUCAUCUAUGGAUCUGGUUUUGGUUGAAUAAUGGCCUAUGGUUCCUGGAAGCUCAUUAAAUGUCAUCCAUCUUGUAGGUAGUUAAAAGAUUGAGACAACUAGGGGUUAAGCAUGUUUAUAUGAGGGUUUGAGAGAGAAUAACGAAUAGUAGAAUAAUACUGAACCAGAAUAAAAACAAUGUUUUAUGGAGGAUGUUGCAGGUGAGUAUAAGAUGAUGCUCCUCCCUGUCUAAUAACCAAAGGUUAACUGCUGUAUUUAAUGUUUCCAAAAUUUUAACCCUGUAGUGCAUGAUGGUGAGUGAUGUAUUAGGACUUUUCCUUUGAGGGAAACAAAACAAAACAAAACAAACCACCACCACGCUAAAGCAAAAAGAACAUGCAUAAAUUUAACAGCAUCUCAGUUAAAAUGAAAUGUAAAGUGUAUUUUUUUGUUAUAGAGAUGGAGCCAAUGACAGCAAAUGUUAAAAGAUAACAGGCAGAAGAUCCAUGAAUAGGUUUAGCAGACCCCUGAUAUCACCAGAAGCUCCUACAGAAGGAAGCGUUCCAGCCUGGAACUAAGAUAACUAUUGAUAACAAUUGUUUGUUAUUGCCAUCUCCCACUUGCACCCUGUUGCUGUAUCUUGCUUACCUUUGCUUUGGAUGGUUCUGUUUGUAGUCUUACAUACAUAUGUUAAAACAGAAAGAUACCAUGCUUAGUUUUUAGAUUGUCAUGGCUGAAGUUGAAGACACCAGACAAAUAUAAACAAGCUAAAGUAAUAAAAUCAAAUAGAUCCAAUUGAAAGCUACCUCCAUCUCCAAACAAUAGAAACCAAGUUUCUCCUGGUGAUUAGGAGAAUAGCUCACCAACAUGUACUGCAAAGACUGUAUAUGUAACAUGAAGUAUGAUACAUACACAUAUAUUUUUGUGUGAUGAAGCAUUAUCUUUUAAAAGCUACAAGGCACCAAGUUAUUAUCCUGGGUAGAUGGUUGUCAACUGACCGAGGCUACGGAAGAGGAAGUGGGAGAACUAUCUAAAUUAUAAAGUUGAGAGGUCAAUUUCAGUAAGGCUCAAUUAGUGUUACCCCAGGAAUUGUAACUGGGGAAAUGGGAAGACAGAUAGGUAGAAGAAAGAUUAAAGCUUUAUGUGGAAUAAAAGUUUCUUCUUCUCAACUCCAAUUUAAAGCAGCUUUAGGAGAAUUUAAUUUUUCACAGCAGUGCAAGGUAACUGCUGGUAUCAGCAGACUGCGAUGAAAAUUACUGGAAAGGAUUGGAAUAGAGCUGGAACAAGGAACAUGCUGCUGCUUUCACUAAAUUUAAAUAAGCAGUUGUAAAAACUCCUGCCUUAAAAUUCCUGAGACAAGGAAAGCCUUUUACAAUAAGGAUUUUCACAUUCACUGAUACUAUGGGAGGGGCACUGUUACAAAGCAGAAGUGAGUGAAAGUGAGUACCAAUAGCAUUGGAACUGCGUUACUUUGGGGUUGGAUCAAGACUUCAUCCGCUCUGAGAGAGACUGUUUAGUAGCAGUCUGGACUAUAGCAGUCUUUCGCCCUUGAUAGCCUGGUUGCAAUCCAGUCUGCUUACACCCUCCUGAAGUACUUAAUUUCAGGGAAAUGAGUAGGCAGCAGAGUACUAUCCACCCAAGUGGCACAGUGGGCACUAAUAUUAACAUAUAGGGAUUACUGUACAGGCGUUAUAAGAAGUGGAUCAUCUCGCUUGUGCACUACCUGAACAACGGGCAGAGCACAGUUAUAUCCAAAAUGUGGACACAAAGUUCCAGAAAAAUCAGUCUCUAAAGGCUUCUUAGGCUAACCUAACUAUUCCUCUUCCUCUUGUAUGAGAAGUCCAAAUAUAAUCCUAUUCUGCCCCUAAAAUGGGGCGAGUGGGAGGUGUAUUUGUGGCUUGUAUAUUCUCAUUUACCUUGCUUGUACAUAUUAGAUUGGCCUAUAAACUUAUAUACUACCUUUAUUUUUUAAUGUUUUUCUGCAGAACAUUGAUUUUUGCUUCCUUUAUGUUUCUGUAGGGUGAUGGAUUUGCUACGUCUCCAUCACGAAGUGCUGACAAACUUACAAUGCUGUAUGCAGAGAGUCCGAGUUGAGACUGAGGAGUUGAGAUACGUGGAAGAAUAUCGCUUAGGAGCAGUUGCUAGCCUUGAUUGAGCGAUAGGCACUGGUGAGUACAGCUGAUUUUGUCUGACUUGAACAGGUUUAUUGCAGUUGCAGAAAUGUUUAGUCUGGCUUUAACAUCCUACAGUAAUGACAUAUAUGUGUUUAUAAAUUGCAUUUACCCUAGAACAUUAGGGAAUGACCACACACUGCCACAAAGAACUACAGGCUAUUACUUGCAGACCUUUAUGAGCUAUCACAAGGCAAGAGCAGUCAGGAGAAUGCAAACAAACACCUGCACAAAGGCCCUGGGAGCUUUGAGCUGUAACUCAAAACUUCCACCAACCCCCAAACUCAUCCAGCCCUGCCCCAAAGCUUCCAACUGCCCCCAGGCGCUAUCCAAACCCUGCCCCAAAGCGCCCAUCAGCACUAAAACAUGCCACAGCCUGACGCAGGGUCCCCAGAGCUCCCAGUGGCCACCCAACAGUACCCAAGCCUUGUCCCAAAACUCCCACUGGCCCUCGAUCACCCCAGGACACGGGAGACUCCCGGAGGCAUUCGGGACACCGGAGGCCCGGCCGGGGAGCGGGGACAGCUCGCAGUCCCCUCAGCCCGGCCCGCACGCCCCCUCCCCACCCCGUCCCUCUGGCCAAUCGGUGUGCGGUUCCGCGCAGACCAACGGAAAGCUGACGCCGUGCUGCACGCAGAGGUCUCGUGCAGGCGGAGUGCGGCCGCCCGUGCUGCGCUGCUGCCACCUCUCCGCUACGGCCCAGUACUGCGUGUGCCCGGGACACGCCUAUGGGCACAGCUGCCUACCGUGCUUGCUGCUGCCCUCUGGUGGGCAGCCUGCAGUACUGCAGCCAGUUGAGGGACGCAUGCGCACAGCAGCCCGCAGUGGUCCCGGCUGCCUCCUGUUGAUCUCAAUCCAGUAGUGCAGACAACAAACUCGCGCAAGCGCAGUUUGAAAGCGGUCGCUCUCCUCCGCUGCCUUCCCGUGCUCCUCGCGGGGG